CCUACGGGAGGCAGCAGUGGGGAAUAUUGCACAAUGGGCGAAAGCCUGAUGCAGCGACGCCGCGUGAGGGAUGACGGCCUUCGGGUUGUAAACCUCUUUCAGCAGGGAAGAAGCGAGAGUGACGGUACCUGCAGAAGAAGCGCCGGCUAACUACGUGCCAGCAGCCGCGGUAAUACGUAGGGCGCAAGCGUUGUCCGGAAUUAUUGGGCGUAAAGAGCUCGUAGGCGGCUUGUUGCGUCGGUUGUGAAAGCCCGGGGCUUAACCCCGGGUCUGCAGUCGAUACGGGCAGGCUAGAGUGUGGUAGGGGAGAUCGGAAUUCCUGGUGUAGCGGUGAAAUGCGCAGAUAUCAGGAGGAACACCGGUGGCGAAGGCGGAUCUCUGGGCCAUUACUGACGCUGAGGAGCGAAAGCGUGGGGAGCGAACAGGAUUAGAUACCCUGGUAGUCCACGCCGUAAACGUUGGGAACUAGGUGUUGGCGACAUUCCACGUCGUCGGUGCCGCAGCUAACGCAUUAAGUUCCCCGCCUGGGGAGUACGGCCGCAAGGCUAAAACUUAAGGAAUUGACGUCGNGAGAGNGCGAGCGACGACGAGGAGAGG
rnacentral:rRNA from 1 species